rnacentral:lncRNA from 1 species
AAAAGGGCAAAGCCUGAGCACCCACGAAGGCCGGGUGCAUGAGACACGCACUGUCAGCUGGUGGCUGCCGUAGCUGGCUGAGAAAGCAUGCCGAGACUCUGGGAGGUCUGGGAAGUGGCAGCUGGUCUCCUAUCUCUAUUGGUUUCCUGUCUCAUACACCACCAACUCUUGAAGUGUGAUCUUCUAACUGGGACUUGACAAGCUCAGCUACCACAGUGGUGAUUGCAAGCCUCACCUCUGCAAUCCUCUCCGAGGCUUCCUCCAAGAACUAAUUGCACCUUGUGAGAACACUUGAAAACAUAUCUGUCCUCAGCAACCCCAGAGCUGCCUGGAGAACAACAUCUCAGGACUUCAGAGCACGGUACCUGAGGGGAAGGGCACGAGGAAGUGUCCCCAGUGGCCAACCAAGGUGAACGUCUCCACCAUGCAGG